rnacentral:rRNA from 1 species
ACUCCUACGGGAGGCAGCAGUGGGGAAUCUUGCGCAAUGGACGAAAGUCUGACGCAGCAACGCCGCGUGAGGGACGAAGGCUUUCGAGUUGUAAACCUCUUUCGACAGGAACGAUUGUGACGGUACCUGUAGAAGAAGCACCGGCCAACUAUGUGCCAGCAGCCGCGGUGAUACAUAGGGUGCGAGCGUUAUUCGGAUUUAUUGGGCGUAAAGAGCUCGUAGGCGGUUCGACAAGUCGGGUGUUAAACCCCCAGGCUUAACCUGGGGCCGCCACCCGAAACUGUCGUGACUAGAGUUUGGUAGGGGAUCACGGAAUUCCUGGUGUAGCGGUGGAAUGCGCAGAUAUCAGGAGGAACACCAGUAGCGAAGGCGGUGAUCUGGGCCAAUACUGACGCUGAGGAGCGAAAGCGUGGGGAGCGAACAGGAUUAGAUACCCUGGUAGUCCACGCCGUAAACGGUGGGCACUAGGUGUGGGGACUUUUCAACGGUUUCCGCGCCGCAGCUAACGCAUUAAGUGCCCCGCCUGGGGAGUACGGUCGCAAGACUAAAACUCAAAGAAAUUGACGGGGGCCCGCACAAGCAGCGGAGCAUGUGGCUUAAUUCGAUGCAACGCGAAAAACCUUACCUAGAUUUGACAUGCUGGGAAAAGCCACAGAGAUGUGGUGUCCUUCGGGGCUCAGCACAGGUGGUGCAUGGCUGUCGUCAGCUCGUGUCGUGAGAUGUUGGGUUAAGUCCCGCAACGAGCGCAACCCUUGUUCUAUGUUGCCAGCACGUAAUGGUGGGGACUCGUAGAAGACUGCCGGGGUCAACUCGGA